rnacentral:rRNA from 1 species
GACAGAGGGUGCAAACGUUGUUCGGAAUUACUGGGCGUAAAGCGUGCGCAGGCGGUGAUGUAAGACAGAUGUGAAAUCCCCGGGCUCAACCUGGGAACUGCAUUUGUGACUGCAUUGCUGGAGUGCGGCAGAGGGGGAUGGAAUUCCGCGUGUAGCAGUGAAAUGCGUAGAUAUGCGGAGGAACACCGAUGGCGAAGGCAAUCCCCUGGGCCUGCACUGACGCUCAUGCACGAAAGCGUGGGGAGCAAACAGG